rnacentral:rRNA from 1 species
UGGGGAAUUUUGGACAAUGGGGGCAACCCUGAUCCAGCCAUCCCGCGUGUGCGAUGAAGGCCUUCGGGUUGUAAAGCACUUUUGGCAGGGAAGAAACAGCCUGGGCUAAUAUCCCGGGCGACUGACGGUACCUGCAGAAUAAGCACCGGCUAACUUCGUGCCAGCAGCCGCGGUAAUACGAGGGGAGCUAGCGUUGUUCGGAAUUACUGGGCGUAAAGCGCGCGUAGGCGGUUUUUUAAGUCAGAGGUGAAAGCCCGGGGCUCAACCCCGGAAUUGCCUUUGAAACUGGAAAACUAGAAUCUUGGAGAGGUCAGUGGAAUUCCGAGUGUAGAGGUGAAAUUCGUAGAUAUUCGGAAGAACACCAGUGGCGAAGGCGACUGACUGGACAAGUAUUGACGCUGAGGUGCGAAAGCGUGGGGAGCAAACA